rnacentral:rRNA from 1 species
UCUAAUACUUCAUUAAUAUCCAUCUCGUAUGGAUUAAAGCUUUAUGCGCUUUGGAGGGGCCUGCGUAACAUUAGCUUGUUGGUGAGGUAAAAGCUCACCAAGGCUUCGAUGUUUAACUGGUUUGAGACGGAUGACCAGUCACACUGGGACUGAGAUACGGCCCAGACUCCUACGGGAGGCAGCAGUAAGGAAUCUUCCACAAUGGGGCAACCCUGAUGGAGCAAUACCGCGUGCAGGAUGAAGCGUUUCGGCGUGUAAACUGCUUUUAUCACCGAAGAUUAUGACUGUAGGUGAAGAAUAAGGACCGGCUAACUACGUG